UACGUAGGGUGCGAGCGUUGUCCGGAAUUACUGGGCGUAAAGGGCGCGUAGGCGGCUCGGCGAGUCGGCUGUGAAAGCCCGGAGCUCAACUCCGGGUCGGCCGUCGAUACUUCCGGGCUUGAGCACUGUAGAGGCAGAUGGAAUUCCGGGUGUAGCGGUGGAAUGCGUAGAGAUCCGGAAGAACACCGGUGGCGAAGGCGGUCUGCUGGGCAGUUGCUGACGCUGAUGCGCGACAGCGUGGGGAGCAAACAGG
rnacentral:rRNA from 1 species